rfam:Erysiphe necator strain c c-strain-scaffold_14, whole genome shotgun sequence.
GCUCGAGAAGCUCAAUUGGUUGAGCGGGGUCUUGAAGCGACCUAGGCUGUAAGUUCAAAUCUUAUCUCGAGCA